rnacentral:tRNA from 1 species
UUUUUUUAGUUUAAAUUAAAACGUGUAAUUUGUAAUUAUAAAAUUAAAAAAACUAU